AGAUAGGCAAAAUAAGCUAGGAACACAGACUGAUAGUCCAGACCGGAUUCAGCAGAACCAAGUCCAAUGUUUAUUGAAUUUCUCCGUAACCAGACACUCAAAUUAAACCAAUCCAACACCAGGGCAAUCUCAAGACACAGGGUAACAAAUCUCAUGAAGAGCUCAACACCUAAUCUUGCCAUUAUGGUGGUCAAAAUAGUCACUCAAUCUAUUGCUGCAUGUGGUACGUUACAACAGAGUCAGUUUAGAUGUUUUAGUCAUAAGGUGAGCUAUAUAUAUCAAAAUUGGACACAAGAUGAUGGGUUGGAAAGCUAAGAAAUAUACCUACAACUUUUAUGAAGGACUCAAAUACAGAGGGAAAAUAAAACGAAUAGAAAAACAGUCCUUAAACACACCCAUUAACAUUUUCCCUUGGUAAAAUUCUGCCACUUUUGGAAGAAGAAGAGAAAAAUAAUUUCCUCAUAAAUUCAACAUAUAGGUAGGCUUAGAAAACAC
rnacentral:lncRNA from 1 species